GAUGAACGCUGGCGGCGUGCCUAACACAUGCCAGUCGAACGGAGAUUACGGACGGAAGUUUUCGGAUGGAAGACUGUAAUUCUUAGUGGCGGACGGGUGAGUAACGCGUGGGCAACCUGCCCUAUACAGGGGGAUAGCAGCUGGAAACGGCUGGUAAGACCGCAUAAGUCGGUUAAAUCGCAUGAUUUGAUCGGGAAAUGAGCAAUCAGGUAUAGGAUGGGCCCGCGUCCGAUUAGCCAGUUGGCAGGGUAAAAGCCUACCAAAGCGACGAUCGGUAGCCGGACUGAGAGGUCGGACGGCCACAUUGGGACUGAGACACGGCCCAAACUCCUACGGGAGGCAGCAGUGGGGGAUAUUGCACAAUGGAGGAAACUCUGAUGCAGCGACGCCGCGUGAGUGAAGAAGUAUUUCGGUAUGUAAAGCUCUAUCAGCAGGGAAGAUGAUGACGGUACCUGACUAAGAAGCCCCGGCUAACUACGUG
rnacentral:rRNA from 1 species